GACGUAGGGCGCGAGCGUUGUCCGGAUUUAUUGGGCGUAAAGAGCUCGUAGGCGGCUUGUCGCGUCGACUGUGAAAAACCCGUGGCUCAACCAUGUGGUCUGCAGUCGAUACGGGCAGGCUAGAAUUCGGUAGGGGAGACUGGAAUUCCUGGUGUAGCGGUGAAAUGCGCAGAUAUCAGGAGGAACACCGGUGGCGAAGGCAGGUCUCUGGGCCGAUAUUGACGCUGAGGAGCGAAAGCGUGGGGAGCGAACAGG
rnacentral:rRNA from 1 species